rnacentral:rRNA from 1 species
UACGGGGGGGGCAAGCGUUGUUCGGAAUUACUGGGCGUAAAGGGCUCGUAGGUGGCCAACUAAGUCAUACGUGAAAUCCCUCGGCUUAACCGGGGAACUGCGUCUGAUACUGGAUGGCUUGAGUUUGGGAGAGGGACGCGGAAUUCCAGGUGUAGCGGUGAAAUGCGUAGAUAUCUGGAGGAACACCGGUGGCGAAGGCGGCGUCCGGGACCAACACUGACACUGAGGAGCGAAAGCCAGGGGAGCAAACAGG